GAUGAACGCUAGCUACAGGCUUAACACAUGCAAGUCGAGGGGAAACGACAUCGAAAGCUUGCUUUUGAUGAGCGUCGACCGGCGCACGGGUGAUUAACGCGUAUCCCACCUGCCCAUCACUUCUUAAUAACCUUGCGAAAGUAAGCCUAAUACCCCAUGACAUCCCACGAAGACAUCUGAAUGGUAUUAAAGAUUUAUCGGUGAUGGAUGGGGAUGCGUCUGAUUAGCUUGUUGGCGUGGUAACGGCCCACCAAGGCAACGAUCAGUAGGGGUUCUGAGAGGAAGGUCCCCCACAGUGGAACUGAGACAAGGUCCAAACAGCUACGGGAGGCAGUAGUGAGGAAUAUAGGUGAAUGGACUAGAGCCUGAACCAGCCAAGUAGCGUGCAGGAAGACGGCCCUAGGGGUGGUAAACUGCUUUUAUAAGGGAAUAAAGUGGGUCUAGUGAGACUUAUUGCAGGUACCUGAUGAAGAAGGACCGGCUAAUUCCGUG
rnacentral:rRNA from 1 species